rnacentral:rRNA from 1 species
UAGUCUGCAACCCGACUACAUGAAGCUGGAAUCGCUAGUAAUCGCGGAUCAGAAUGCCGCGGUGAAUACGUUCCCGGGUCUUGUACACACCGCCCGUCACACCAUGGGAGUCGGAAAUGCCCGAAGUCUGUGACCCAACCUUAGGGAGGGAGCAGCCGAAGGCAGGUCGGAUGACUGGGGUGAAGUCGUAACAAGGUACC